rnacentral:lncRNA from 1 species
AUGAAUCAUUCAUACAGGGAUGAAGAGCUCCAGCUGUGGACGUCCUCAGGUCAGAUGAUGCAGGCUGAUGAGGAGCCACAGUUGAUCCCUCGCUUCUGCAUCCUUAAUCAAAGAGGAAGAGCAUCCUUGUGGAAGAACACCGAUCGCAGGUCGAGCCUAAUAACGCAGCCACCCUCCCUCUCUCUGCACCCUCGACACUCUUGUCUUCUGCAGGAGGCUAUCCAACACUCAGCAUUCACUUCUCUAGAUUCACUUGUCAUAAAUUUCUCCCAGGAGGUCACUGGGACAAGACUCAACUCAAAUGUGAGGGACAUUUUCAGGUUGAUGACAACAGAUCAGUGUAAGAGUUUGAUCAUUUUCUGUGAUGAAGACAUACCACCACACCUUUCUAGUAACAUUUGCUACGAUAAAGACAGUGGGGUAUUUAUGGGGAAUCCUGGAUGUAAUAUCAACGACAAUAACAAUGUGUCAAGUGAUCUGACAAACCUAACUGUCCACACACUCUGCGAACCCAACAACAAUGACUCUAAGGACAGUCAGAGCGAAAUGGUUAUCAGAGAUUGUUUUCACGAUGGCAAAUGUAAAUGUGUUUUAAAAUCCUGUCAAAAGUGCAAUAAUUUAGGAGUUUCAUCUGGAAGGGACAGGAACGUGAAAAUGAGCAGGAGCGUGUCCUUCGACGAGGAGGUCAUUGUCUACAUGUUUGAUCAGGUACUGAUCACCUGGGCAAGUACUGUGGUUUUGGGGUGUUGUUUUCUGAUCAUCCUAAUCCAAACUAAAGCUGUGUCCAUUUAUGACCCAUCUAUUGAUGUCAUCUUUAGGACAGCCCCAUCUCGGAGCUGCACUCUGAGCCCUGCAUAUCUCAUCCAGGCCGCCAUUCCAGUGAUCUGUCAGACGACACACUGGAAGACAUUGGUCUGGAAUGGGAGGACGACUUCUCAGCUUUGGAGACGAACCGCCAUUUUCAGUAUGUCAGACACAGGUGGGACCGCUCGUUCUCCCUACCGACACCCGGCCGGACGUCCCUGGCCAGGCCAGAGCGUUUGUCUCUGUCCCAAACCUGCCUGUUCCUCAUCCAUGUCACCGAGUCAGACCUUGAACUGUGAGAUAAAGGGCCUGUUGAAGCUCUGAGAUCUACAGUAGGCCCACACUGCUGGAGAAAGAGAGGACAGAGGCAGCAGGAUGAAGUCCAAAGGGAAGGCCGUCAAACCAUCCAGGAGAACUUGGUCUGACCCAGAGCCAGAACUAGAACCAGACACAGAACCAGAACCUGGCUCCAGCGAGCAGGAAGGCUCAGAGGCCUCGGUCCGCAUUCGUGGCUCCUGGAGGGGAUCGCUCAGAAGUGGGGAUGGUAAGCGUCAGGGAGGCGCAGGCGGAGGCCGGCGGCGCAGACAACACGGCUCCAGCACCAAGGAGCGCAGCAUCCGGCGACUGGAGAGCAACGAGCGGGAACGCCAGCGCAUGCACAAACUCAACAAUGCCUUCCAGGCAUUACGCGAGGCCAUCCCUCACGUCAAGACGGACAAGAAAUUGUCCAAGAUCGAGACACUGACCCUAGCUAAGAAUUACAUCAAGGCUUUGACCACCAUCAUCCUGGACAUGUCAGGGGCCUGCCUGCCCGCUGGUGGAGUCCCAUCAGAGGCCAGCGCUGCCAAGCUGCUCCAGUGCUACCAGCAGCACCUGGAGGAGGAAGGGGAAGAGGGUCUUACCCAGUACCUCACCCACAUGCACAGCUUCAGCCAGCUCAGCUAACAGUGGCUGCAAGGUGGUGUGGAGAUGAGGACAGCCACCAGGAGGCUGGCCUACAGGGUAGAAAGUCAGUUGAUGGACUCCACUCCACAAUAUCCACUUCCUACCGUCACACUGCUCUUGGAUCGGGGGGUGUUUUCUGUAGGAAGCGGGUGUUGUCGUGCUUGAGCGUAGCGAGAGCCGAGCUGCCCUCACGCAACAUGGAAUGAUUUGGGAACCAUUCACCCAGCGGACACAAGACUGCAGACUGGAAAACGAAAAACCAAAGAGACCAUAGUUACGAAAAGCGAGAAGACUUUUUAGCUAUUAUGCUGAGAUAGCAAGGGCUAAUCUUACACUGUUCUCUCUCUCUCUCUCUCUCUUUUUUUUAAUCUCAUCUUCUAUGGUUUGAGCUGGGGCUGGGACUUGUUCUCUUUUGUGUUAUCUUGUGAUCUUCUUGUGUGUUUUCUGUUGAGAAACCUGCUGAGCAUAGCCUCUAGUCGCAACCGCCACAUCCAGGAAGAAAAUGAAGGCAAGCAGUAUGAGUUACAGUAAAUAUUGAAAAUUUGAAGCUACAUGUACAGAGUUGUGUUUGCCCAAGCAGGCGAUCUCCAUGAUUUACUUGUUUUCUCACAUGCUGUACACCCAUACUGCAGCUAGAUGGCAGAGAUGAUGUGUAAAGUGUAUGUUAUUUGUCUUCUUGUGUCUCCACGUGUCUUGAGGUGUUUUUUGUAGAGAAAAUGGAAAAAGAAGUAUCUAUUUCAGCAG